rnacentral:rRNA from 1 species
UAGAGGAGUGGCUUUCGGAGCUAACGCGUUAAAUCGACCGCCUGGGAAGUACGGCCGCAAGGUUAAAACUCAAAUGAAUUGACGGGGGCCCGCACAAGCGGUGGAGCAUGUGGUUUAAUUCGAUGCAACGCGAAGAACCUUACCUACUCUUGACAUCCAGAGAAUUUAGCAGAGAUGCUUUAGUGCCUUCGGGAACUCUGAGACAGGUGCUGCAUGGCUGUCGUCAGCUCGUGUUGUGAAAUGUUGGGUUAAGUCCCGCAACGAGCGCAACCCUUAUCCUUUGUUGCCAGCGAUUCGGUCGGGAACUCAAAGGAGACUGCCGGUGAUAAACCGGAGGAAGGUGGGGAUGACGUCAAGUCAUCAUGGCCCUUACGAGUAGGGCUACACACGUGCUACAAUGGCGUAUACAAAGAGAAGCGACCUCGCGAGAGCAAGCGGAACUCAUAAAGUACGUCGUAGUCCGGAUUGGAGUCUGCAACUCGACUCCAUGAAGUCGGAAUCGCUAGUAAUCGUAGAUCAGAAUGCUACGGUGAAUACGUUCCCGGGCCUUGUACACACCGCCCGUCACACCAUGGGAGUGGGUUGCAAAAGAAGUAGGUAGCUUAACCUUCGGGAGGGCGCUUACCACUUUGUGAUUCAUGACUGGGGUGAAGUCGUAACAAGGUAACCAAGGGCGAAUUCGCGGC